rnacentral:rRNA from 1 species
UGGGGAAUAUUGGACAAUGGGCGAAAGCCUGAUCCAGCCAUGCCGCGUGUGUGAAGAAGGUCUUCGGAUUGUAAAGCACUUUAAGUUGGGAGGAAGGGCAGUAAGCGAAUACCUUGCUGUUUUGACGUUACCGACAGAACAAGCACCGGCUAACUCUGUGCCAGCAGCCGCGGUAAUACAGAGGGUGCAAGCGUUAAUCGGAAUUACUGGGCGUAAAGCGCGCGUAGGUGGUUCGUUAAGUUGAAUGUGAAAGCCCCGGGCUCAACCUGGGAACUGCAUCCAAAACUGGCGAGCUAGAGUAGGGCAGAGGGUGGUGGAAUUUCCUGUGUAGCGGUGAAAUGCGUAGAUAUAGGAAGGAACACCAGUGGCGAAGGCGACCACCUGGGCUCAUACUGACACUGAGGUGCGGAAGCGUGGGGAGCAAACAGG